rfam:Human immunodeficiency virus type 1 proviral gag pseudogene for gag polyprotein, clone:IMS3-5.
UUUUUUAGGAAAGAUCCGGCCUUCCCACAAGGAGAGGCCAAGGAAUUUUCUU